GAGAGAUGGUGAAAUGUGCCCAGGCAGGGCAAAGCCACAGGGAUUUCUGCAGCAGUCCUGACGUGCAAAUCACCCUUCUGACCUGGGUGCAGGGACAAAGGACUCAAUGAACCACCCAGUGGUU